AAAAGGGAUGAUUUUUCAUUUCCUAUCGUUAAUUAUCCGUUUUUAGAUGGUGACGUUCCCUUGUCACCAUCUUACGGUGUUUAUAUAUCUCAACUUGUACGAUUCGUUCGUGUAUGUAACAAUGUUUUGGAUUUUAACGAGAGAACUUUAUGUAUUACUGAAAAAUUAUUACACCAGGGUUUUCGAUAUCACAAACUAGUCAAAACAUUUACUAAAUUUUAUCAUCGGUAUAAAGACAUCAUUCGUAAAUAUAGCUC
rnacentral:lncRNA from 1 species